GGUUACUGGUGGGACAAUGGAAAUAAACAAAUUGCCUUUGGAAGUGGUAGACGAGGAUUUAUUGCUUUUAAUGGCGACAAUGUUGAUUUUAAUCAAACUUUGCAGUCAAAACUGUGAAGUGACGAUACUUGUAAGAAAACAAAAACAGAAACACAAUUGUACACAUGUAACUCUAUUGAAACAUUCAAAAUACAAAUAAAGUCAUAUUUUUAUAAUAUGUUCGAUUUUCCUUGUAUGUUAAA
rnacentral:misc_RNA from 1 species